GAUUAUGGCUCAGGACGAACGCUGGCGGCGUGCUUAACACAUGCAAGUCGAACGGGGUGUUUAUUUCGGUAAACACCAAGUGGCGAACGGGUGAGUAACGCGUAAGCAAUCUACCUUCAAGAUGGGGACAACACUUCGAAAGGGGUGCUAAUACCGAAUGAAUGUAAGAGUAUCGCAUGAGACACUUACUAAAGGAGGCCUCUGAAAAUGCUUCCGCUUGAAGAUGAGCUUGCGUCUGAUUAGCUAGUUGGUGAGGGUAAAGGCCCACCAAGGCGACGAUCAGUAGCCGGUCUGAGAGUAUGAACGGCCACAUUGGGACUGAGACACGGCCCAGACUCCUACGGGAGGCAGCAGUGGGGAAUCUUCCGCAAUGGGCGAAAGCCUGACGGAGCAACGCCGCGUGAACGAUGAAGGUCUUAGGAUCGUAAAGUUCUGUUGUUAGGGACGAAGGGUAAGAAUCAUAAUAAGGUUUUUAUUUGACGGUACCUAACGAGGAAGCCACGGCUAACUACGUGCCAGCAGCCGCGGUAAUACGUAGGCGGCAAGCGUUGUCCGGAAUUAUUGGGCGUAAAGGGAGCGCAGGCGGGAAACUAAGCGGAUCUUAAAAGUGCGGGGCUCAACCCCGUGAUGGGGUCCGAACUGGUUUUCUUGAGUGCAGGAGAGGAAAGCGGAAUUCCCAGUGUAGCGGUGAAAUGCGUAGAUAUUGGGAAGAACACCAGUGGCGAAGGCGGCUUUCUGGACUGUAACUGACGCUGAGGCUCGAAAGCUAGGGUAGCGAACGGGAUUAGAUACCCCUGUAGUCCUAGCCGUAAACGAUGGAUACUAGGUGUGGGAGGUAUCGACCCCUUCCGUGCCGGAGUUAACGCAAUAAGUAUCCCGCCUGGGGAGUACGGCCGCAAGG
rnacentral:rRNA from 1 species